rfam:Triticum aestivum genome assembly, contig: Triticum_aestivum_CS42_TGACv1_scaffold_249516_3DL
GUUGUACUCCCUCCGUCCGAGAAAGCUUGUCCAUCAAAUAGAUGUAUCUAGCAUCAAAUUAGUGUUAGAUACAUUUAUUUGAGGGAUAAGCUUGGGACAAGUUUUUUCGGACGGAGGAAGUACUUG